rnacentral:rRNA from 1 species
GACGAACGCUGGCGGCGUGCUUAACACAUGCAAGUCGAACGGAAAGGCCUCUUUCGGGGGGUACUCGAGUGGCGAACGGGUGAGUAACACGUGAGUAACCUGCCCUUGACUUUGGGAUAACUUCAGGAAACUGGGGCUAAUACCGGAUAGGAGCUCCUGCUGCAUGGUGGGGGUUGGAAAGUUUCGGCGGUUGGGGAUGGACUCGCGGCUUAUCAGCUUGUUGGGGGGGUAGUGGCUUACCAAGGCUUUGACGGGUAGCCGGCCUGAGAGGGUGACCGGCCACAUUGGGACUGAGAUACGGCCCAGACGCCUACGGGAGGCAGAAGUGGGGAAUAUUGCACAAUGGGUGGAAGCCUGAUGCAGCAACGCCGGGUGCGGGAUGACGGCCUUCGGGUUGUAAACCGCUUUCGCUCAUGACGAAGCUUUGUGUGACGGUAGUGGGUAAAGAAGCACCGGCUAACUACGUG